CGACCCCAGGUCGGGCGGGGCCACCCGCUGAGUUUAAGCAUAUCAAUAAGCGGAGGA
rnacentral:misc_RNA from 1 species